ACGCACGCUGGCGGCGUGCUUAACACAUGCAAGUCGAACGGUGAACUCCGCUUGCGGGGGGAUCAGUGGCGAACGGGUGAGUAACACGUGGGCAACCUGCCCUCAGCUCUGGGAUAACUCCAAGAAAUUGGGGCUAAUACCGGAUAUGACCGCUGACCGCAUGGUCUGGUGGUGGAAAGAUUUAUCGGCUGGGGAUGGGCCCGCGGCCUAUCAGCUUGUUGGUGGGGUAGUGGCCUACCAAGGCGACGACGGGUAGCCGGCCUGAGAGGGUGACCGGCCACACUGGGACUGAGACACGGCCCAGACUCCUACGGGAGGCAGCAGUGGGGAAUAUUGCGCAAUGGGCGAAAGCCUGACGCAGCGACGCCGCGUGGGGGAUGACGGCCUUCGGGUUGUAAACCUCUUUCAGCAGGGACGAAGCGAAAGUGACGGUACCUGCAGAAGAAGUACCGGCCAACUACGUG
rnacentral:rRNA from 1 species